rnacentral:rRNA from 1 species
GUAGGGAAUAUUGGGCAAUGGGUGCAAGCCUGACCCAGCCAUCCCGCGUGCCGGAUGAAGGCCCUCUGGGUCGUAAACGGCUUUUGACGGUGAAGAACCGAAAGGGUGCGCCCUUUUUUGACGGUAGCCGUUGAAUAAGCACCGGCUAACUCCGUGCCAGCAGCCGCGGUAAUACGGAGGGUGCGCGCGUUGUCCGGAUUUAUUGGGUUUAAAGGGUGCGUAGGCUGGAGGGACAGUCAGCGGUGAAAAGCAGUUGCUCAACAAUUGUCUUGCCUCAGAGACGAACGUGCGUGGAGUGGGAGGAGGUUACCGGAACGGAUGGUGUAGCGGUGAAAUGCAUAGAUAUCAUCCAGAACGCCAAUUGCGAAGGCAGGUAACUGUACCUAUAUCGACGCUGAUGCACGAAAGCAUGGGUAGCGAACAGGAUUAGAAACCCGUGUAGUCC